rnacentral:rRNA from 1 species
CAAUAGCGUAUAUUAAAGUUGUUGCAGUUAAAAGCUCGUAGUUGGAUUUCUGGGAGGGUGCCAAUGUCCGUCAACGUGCGUGUGCAGCGGCGCCCUUCCAUCCUUCUGUUAACGCCUCUGGGCAUUUAUUUGCUGGUGGCGGGCUCAGAUAUUUUACCUUGAGAAAAUUAGAGUGUUUCAGGCAGGCUAGGCCGGAAUACAUUAGCAUGGAAUAAUAGAAUAGGACUAUGGUCUCUUUGUUGGUUUGAGGGACUAUGGUAAUGAUUAAUAGGGAUAGUUGGGGGCGAUUAGUAUUUAAUUGUCAGAGGUGAAUUACUUGGAUUUAUUAAAGACAACGUAUGCGAAAGACAUUUGUCCAAGGAUGUUUUCUAUAAUCAAGAACGAAAGAAUAGGGGAGUCAAAGACGAUCAGAUACCAU